rnacentral:rRNA from 1 species
GAUGAACGCUGGCGGCGUGCCUAGUACAUGCAAGUCGAGCGAACGGACGAGAAGCUUGCUUCUCUGAUGUUAGCGGCGGACGGGUGAGUAACACGUGGAUAACCUACCUAUAAGACUGGGAUAACUUCGGGAAACCGGAGCUAAUACCGGAUAAUAUUUUGAACCGCAUGGUUCAAAAGUUAAAGACGGUCUUGCUGUCACUUAUAGAUGGAUCCGCGCUGCAUUAGCUAGUUGGUAAGGUAACGGCUUACCAAGGCAACGAUGCAUAGCCGACCUGAGAGGGUGAUCGGCCAAACUGGAACUGAGACACGGUCCAGACUCCUACGGGAGGCAGCAGUAGGGAAUCUUCCGCAAUGGGCGAAAGCAUGACGGAGCAACGCCGCGUGAGUGAUGAAGGUCUUCGGAUCGUAAAACUCUGUUAUUAGGGAAGAACAUAUGUGUAAGUAACUGUGCACAUCUUGACGGUACCUAAUCAGAAAGCCACGGCUAACUACGUG